CAAAUGGUUGCAACAGCCGGGGCUGGACCAGAUCAGAACUAGGAGCCAGGAACUCAGCCCAGGUCUCUCAAACAGAUCACAGGAGACCCAAGCACUCCAGCCAUCACCUAUUGUCUCCCAGGGGACUUCAUGCACUGCCAAAACAGGCAAAGAAAAAGCCCUUCCCCUGGGAGGCCUACUCCGACUGAACUGCCUUCUGAGAAGGACCCACCAGGACCCCCUGGGCAAAGCCAGAGUGGACGCUGUGGACAGAGCUGAAGCCCAGGGGAGUGCCAAGCCUCUAAUCAGAAGAGAGACGGAGGAGCAUGAGCAGAAUCCAG